rnacentral:rRNA from 1 species
UAUUUUUAAUAUUUUAAUUUUAUAUUUAAGUUAAAAAGCUUUAAAUAUUAAUAUUAGACGAGAAGACCCUAUAGAAUUUUAUUAAUAUUAAAUAUUUAAAUUAAUAUAUUAUAUUAAUUGUUGGGGAGAUUAAAAAAUUUAAUAAACUUUUUAAAAUAUUCAUAAAUUUUUGUUUAUUUGAUCUUGUAUUAUGGAUUAUAAAAUUAAAUUACCUUAGGGAUAACAGCAUAAUUUUUAAAAUAAGUUCUUAUU